CGGAGACCCGGUGGGAUGAGGGUUGGGGGAGGAGGCGGUGGAGGAGGAGGCGGAGGAGGGAGGGAGAGGGAGGCGGCGCUGCUGCUGGUGCUGAUCGCGGCGGCGUGCGGCUUCGUCGUCGUGCUCCUCAACCUCCCCGACGGCCGCGCCCUCCCCGGAGCCGGAGGAGUACCCGGUGCGGUUGGGGAGCACACGGGAGGGACCCAUGUGUCGGUGAAGGAGAGGCGGAUGGUAGAGAUCGUGAGACAGCAGCAGGACGUAGCAGCACAGGAGUUAGAAGGACAAACUGAUGAAAAUGCUGCAGAGGCAGAUGAAAGAAUAUCUAGAUCUCCUCCUGGCACUAAAGAGAAGUUAUGGAUGAUGCAAGACCAGCUAAUUAUGGCCAAGGCCUACUUGCAGUUUGCUUCCCUGCAUGGCAGUGCACAUUUAGUUCGGGAGUUGAAGUUGAGAAUCAAGGAGAUAGAGAGGGUGAUAAGCCACUUUAGCAGCAGUUCCCGUGUACCCACGAGUGCACUGCAGAAAAUUAGGGCAAUGGAAAUGACCCUAUCUAAAGCUCAAAGAGCCUACCCACAUUGUUCUCAUAUGACAGCAAAGUUACGUGCAAUGACACAUCAAAGCGAAGAGUUGGUCAGAGCCCAUCGAAGCGAAACUUCAUUCCUUGAGCAGGUUGCAGUGAGGACAUUACCAAAAAGCCAUCACUGCCUAGCAAUGCGACUUACCUCAGAAUACUUCCUGUUAGAUCCGAAGGAACGUGAAUUUCCUCAAAGAUACACAAUGCAGAUGGGUGACCUUUACCAUUAUGCAAUAUUCUCAGACAAUGUGCUAGCGAGUGCAGUGGUUGUCAACUCUACAAUUUCUGCAUCUAAGGAUCCCAAAAGGAUAAUGUUUCAUAUUGUGACUGAUGCACUGAAUUUUCCUGCAAUGAUGAUGUGGUUUCUGACAAACCCACCAAAUCCAGCCACAAUUCAAAUCAAGAGCUUAGAUAAUUUGAAAUGGCUGCCAGCUGAUUUCAGUUUCAGAUUUAAGCAGAAGGGCAUCCGAGAUCCAAGAUACACUUCUGCGCUUAACCACUUGCGCUUUUAUUUGCCAGAAGUAUUCCCUUCUCUGAACAAACUUGUACUCUUGGACCAUGACAUUGUAGUCCAAAGAGACUUGAGUGGAUUAUGGCAGAUAGAUUUGAAUGGUAAAGUAAAUGGUGCUGUUGAGACGUGCACUUCUGGUGAUGGUUAUCAUCGGUUGGAGAACCUUGUUAAUUUCUCUGAUCCAAGUAUCAUCAACAAAUUUGAUGCAAAGGCUUGCAUACAUGCAUUUGGGAUGAACAUCUUUGACCUUAAGGAAUGGCGCAGGCAGGGGCUGACUACUGCUUAUAAUAAGUGGUUUCAAGCUGGCAAAAGGCGGAGACUAUGGAAAGCAGGGAGCUUGCCACUGGGCCAGAUUGUCUUCUACAAUCAAACAGUGCCUCUUGACCACCGGUGGCAUGUUCUUGGGCUUGGUCAUGACAGAAGCAUAGGAAGAGAUGCAAUUGAGAGGGCCGCCGUGAUCCACUACAGCGGAAAACUCAAACCCUGGCUGGAGAUCUCCAUUCCCAAGUACAGAGAUUAUUGGAACAAUUUCCUUGACUAUGACAACCCAUACUUGCAGCAGUGCAACAUUCACAUGUAGAAGCAGUAGAAGCUAGAAGAUUCACACAAUGGCCCAUGAAUACACGGUUUUUGCAAUACAUAUUUCAGGCCCAAAUAAAACAUUAGAGAAGUUGUCAGGAGAUACACACAAUGGUUCUAUUUGCAGUUUCAGAAAGUGCAGAUCCACAACCAUCCAAGCUGAUAUGAUCAUAUGACUUUCCAAGCCAAAUUCCAAGACCCCAAGCAACCGUCAUGACUCAAUUCAGGUUAUCCGAUCAAAGAUGUCCAGCACAACAGCGCCUCAUUUUUGCGUGUCACUGGAUGAAAUCAUGAAACAGCCCUGGUCGUCAUAGCCGACGCAUGCAAUGAACUGUCUGAAGAAACCAAUUUGAGUUGUUGGUUUUGGACAGCAGAGAAUCCAUCUUAGCACGAAGAAAGAAAAUGUCAGAUAUGCACAUAUCUGGGGGUCGAUGCAGGUAUGUGUUUAAGAUGUGCCAUAUCUAUGGUCUUUGCAUGAAACUUUUAUAUGCCAAAAAUAUGUUACGUACGUCUCUGGACUCUGGAUGGGUAGCAAUGGCGGCUAUGAAAUUGCUCUCUGAUCUGUCGCCGUGACUUUCAGAUAUUCAGAUAUCUCCUGCUGGUCGUAUGACAGACGACCUCAUGUGCUUCCUGACCAUAUGGUACUCGCCCAUCAUUUUUGUUUAUGUUUCGAAAGCUGAAAUGAUUCAUCCUCACUAGGAUGCGAGUGCGUGGGGGUCCUAUUUCGCAUCCAAAAAUGUACAUUAUUGUUGCUAGUUUAUAAUGUGAUGAUAUAUAUUUUAGUUAAAUUAGAGUCGGUCAA